rnacentral:lncRNA from 1 species
AUCAACACCGAUGCGGAGUGACGAAGAAAACCGGGGGACCGGUGAGGACAAUAAGAGGAGACGUCAUUUUUCUCAAAAAGGAUGGAUUGAAAUUACGAAAUUACCCCCUCUACGCAAAGAUUUCAUUGUUCCGCAUGAUGGGUUUUGUACAAACAAUCCUAUGUGUGCAUGCAACCCUAGAUUUAGAUCUAUGUUUUCUCUAUUAGAUACACAACUUUAUGAACACAAUAAGAACCCUAGCUAGUAGGUAUAUAUUUCGAAAUUUAUAUAGAAGAGUAGAUCACAUACCUCUUGUUGUUAUAUUGCAAUAAUAACACUAAUCUUCAAUCUCUUAGUCUUGAAAGCAAGUACCACAAGUGUAGUACCUAUAAUGGCUCACAAUGUAACAACGCAAAUUUUCAAACAAAUUUUUCAUUUUAAAAAUAAAGUAUUUCCAUUCAAAACAAGGCAUAAAUAAUUUAAGUGUUCUGUCAAAUACAAUUAAUCAAAACCCCAAGAUCAUAAAAGCAGUCUUCAGUGUGUAUCGAUCACGCCGGCGCCUUCCCACGGUCCUCGCUAGUACCUGAAAUACAUGCGCAACAACUGUAAGCAUAAAUGCUUAGUGAGUUCCCCAAUAUACAAUUACACACAUACGCCUUUCCAGGCCCUGACCUUCCGGUCCUCAACACAACGCCUUCCGGCCCAUAACAUAAUCGCCUUCCGGCCCAUAACAUAUUGCCUUCCGGCCCACAUAACAUACAUAGCUCACAGAUAACAAAUAACUUAUCACAUAUAUCAUACAUAUCACAUAUCAUAUCUGACCUUCCGGUCAUACAGUCAAACCCUUCCGGGUACAGUAUAGUGAGAAGACUCACCUCGUAAAAGCUGAAAGCUAGCAAAUCCCGAAAUGACUCGUGCACAAUCCGACGAGCUACAACCUCCCUAUAACAUCACAUAUCUCAUUAACACUUAUAUCUUCUAAGUGUGACUAUCCCUAAGAAGUCAGACUUAGGUCAACUCUGGUCAACGGUCAACUGGCAACUCGACCGGACUCGGCGAGUGCCAUGGCGACUCGGCGAGUCUAGACGUCCUCCAACUCUCUGAGAUUCCCUAUCUACUCGUCGAGUAUCCUCCUCGACCCGACGAGUUACUCCUGGAAGAAUCGCGGGGCCACCCCGACUCCACUCGCCGAGUCUGAAGAACAACUCGACGAGUCCCAGUUAAUCUUCAAGCUACUCGCCGAGUCUGUUCAUCGAACUCGGCGAGUCCAUGCCAUGCAACCGCUCAAACUGCAUCCUAAGGUCAGAACUGCUUCGACCAUUCCUAGGUCUGGCCUUCCUAGGCUGAUCCAUCACGUAAAGUCCUCAUUUCAGUGCUCAUGAUACACCAUAUGAUUCAUAAUUUACAUUUUGACCUAAGGCAUAAGGAUUCCAAUCCAAAACCUUCAUCAAUUCCCGAAAUGCACAGACAUGGGACAUUCUGGACCUCCAAAGGUCCCAAUACAGGGUUACAAUCGAUUAGGGGACUAGGGUAACAUUCAAUCUAUUCACAAAAGGGUUCCAUAAACCCUAAUUCCAUAAUCACAUCAACAUAGCAGAGUAUACUCGAAUUCUUACCUGGAUGAUGUAUUCUCUGUGUCCCCAAUCCUCAGAAUGUGACUCCCUUGCUGUUCCUUUAGCCAAUCCCUUCUCUUCCUUGCACAACAACUCUUCUAUAAUCAACAAUGGCCUAUAAUCCUUGCUCCAGAUGCACACAAUCGAUUUAGGGUUCUUCUCAGAAGGCUAAAAUGAACAAUGACGGCCAAUAAGUCCCUUUUAUACGUCCCAAACCUGAACGGUUAGGGUUUUCGCUAAACAGCGUAGACUCGCCGAGUCCAUAUCUGGACUCGUCGAGUCCAGUCGCGAACCCGCGACCAAGUCUGCGAUCCUACUCGGCGAGUCUAGGCUCCAACUCGCCGAGUCCCCUCUUAAAUCACCCCAAAAACAUAAUUUAACAAUACCUGAGAUUCCGGGCUGUUACAACUCUCCCCCACUAGGAUUAGACUUCGCCCUCGAAGUCUCACUCUGAAAAUAGUUCCGGAUGCUGCUCCCGCAUCUCACGUUCCGGCUCCCAAGUCAUUUCCGAUCCCUUACGGUGUUGCCACUGAACCAACACCAGAGGUACCUCCUUGUUCCUCAGAACCUUGAUCUUCCGAUCCCUGAUGGCCACUGGUCUCUCAGCAUAAUUCAGGCUCGCAUCCACCUGAAUAUCCUCCAAUGGAACCACUGCCGACUCAUCGGCUAUGCACUUCCUCAAUUGCGACACAUGAAAAGUGUCGUGGAUCUGUCCCAACUCCGCUGGCAACUCCAACCGAUAGGCUACCCGGCCUAUCCUUGCAAUCACACGAAAUGGCCCAAUAUACCGGGGCCCCAACUUGCCCCUCUUCCUGAAUCGAAUCACUCCUUUCCAAGGAGAGACCUUCAGGAGAACGAAGUCGCCGACUUGAAACUCAAGCUCGGAUCGGCGCCUGUCUGCAUAACUCUUCUGUCGGCUCUGGGCGGUCAAUAACCUCUGUCUAACUUGCUGAAUCUGCUCUGUCGUCUGAAGCACGAUCUCUGUGCUGCCCAUCACUCUCUGUCCCACCUCUCCCCAGCAAAUGGGGGUCCGACACCUCCUACCAUACAACAGCUCAAAAGGUGGCAUACCAAUGCUCGAAUGAUGGCUGUUGUUGUAGGAAAACUCUGCUAAGGGUAAAUAUGCAUCCCAGCUACCCCCGAAGUCUAACACACACGCUCGAAGCAUGUCCUCCAGCGUCUGAAUCGUCCGCUCGCUCUGACCGUCUGUCUGGGGAUGGUAUGCGGUACUAAAAUGCAAUUUAGUACCCAGCUCCUCAUGGAAUUUCUUCCAGAACCUGGAAGUGAAGCGCACAUCACGGUCUGAAACAAUCGAGAUCGGCACCCCAUGCCGAGAUACCACUUCUCUCACAUAUAUCUCCGCCAACUUCUCCGCUGAAGAACUCUCGCUGAUGGCAAGGAAGUGUGCACUCUUCGUCAACCUAUCCACAAUCACCCAAAUUGCAUCAACUCCCCUGGCAGUCCUCGGCAAUUUGGUGAUGAAAUCCAUAGUGAUCUGUUCCCACUUCCACUCGGGGAUCUCCAAUGGCUGUAACUUGCCAUGCGGUCUCUGGUGCUCGGCCUUAACCCUACGGCAGGUCAAGCACCUCUCAACGAACCAUGCGACGUCCCUCUUCAUACAGGGCCACCAAUACUCUUUCCUCAAGUCCAAAUACAUCUUCGUAGCACCGGGAUGGAUCGAGAAUUUCGAUCUAUGAGCCUCUUCCAUCAAAGUAAUACGCGUACCGCCCACGAACGGUACCCAAAUCCGACCCUGAAACGUCAUAAGCCCUCGUCCAUCCUUAACGAACUCUGAAAUUAACCCCACAACCCGCUCUUUCUUCUGCAUCUCUGGUCGCACAGCCUCGGCCUGUGCCCCACGAAUAGCAUCCAAUACUGGAGUCAUCACAGUCAGUCUCAAGCAUACAUCUCGCAAUGGAGUGCUCUCCGCCCUGCGGCUCAACGCGUCGGCUACCACAUUAGCCUUGCCUGGGUGGUACAGGAUCUCACAAUCAUAAUCCUUGACCACAUCCAACCACCUCCUCUGACGCAUAUUUAGGUUGGGCUGAUCCAUCAAAUACUUCAAGCUCUUAUGGUCCGUGUAUAUCGUACAUCGAACCCCAUACAGGUAGUGACGCCAAAUCUUGAGAGCGAACACUACUGCUCCCAACUCUAAAUCAUGCGUGGGAUAUCUCGCCUCAUGAGGCUUCAGCUGCCUCGACGCAUAAGCUAUCACAUGACCCCUCUGCAUCAACACUGCACCCAGUCCCGAAAUCGAUGCGUCGCAAUAUACCACAAAAUCUUCCAUCCCUUCUGGGAGAGCUAAUACCGGGGCUUCGCACAACCUCUGGCGAAGUGUCUCAAAGGAGGUCUGCUGCUCGGGCCCCCAUGAGAAUGCAACACCCUUCCGGGUCAAUCUGGUGAGUGGCACUGCGAUCUUGGAGAAAUCCUUGAUGAAUCUCCGAUAAUACCCUGCCAACCCAAGGAAGCUCCUGAUCUCAGAGGGUGACUUCGGCACCUCCCAACUCAUCACCGCCUCAACCUUGGCCGGAUCGACCAAUAUCCCUUUCUGAUUAACAACAUGUCCUAGAAAUUGGACCUCCCGCAACCAGAAGUCACAUUUGGAGAACUUUGCAUAAAGCUUCUCCGACCUCAAUACCUCAAGGACCUCCCUCAAAUGCUCCUCAUGCUGCUCUCUAGAUCUCGAAUACACCAGAAUGUCGUCGAUAAAUACAAUCACUGACCGAUCCAACAUCGGCCUGCAUACCCUGUUCAUGAGAUCCAUGAACACAGCCGGGGCAUUGGUGAGCCCGAAAGGCAUCACCACAAACUCAUAAUGCCCAUAUCGCGUCCUAAACGCUGUCUUCUGGACAUCCUCAUCCCGUACUCUCACCUGAUGGUACCCUGACCUCAGAUCGAUCUUGGAAAACCAAGACGCUCCCUGCAACUGAUCGAAUAAAUCAUCGAUCCUCGGUAACGGGUAACGGUUCUUGACCGUCAACUUGUUCAACUCCCGGUAAUCAAUGCACAUCCGGUGUGAACCAUCCUUCUUCUUGACGAACAGAAUAGGUGCUCCCCACGGCGAGCUGCUCGGCCGAAUGAAUCCCUUCCCCAGCAACUCCUGGAGCUGCGAGGACAACUCUUGCAUCUCUGGAGGUGCAAGACGAUAAGGCACCUUAGCAAUAGGCGCGGCCCCCGGAACCAGAUCGAUACCAAACUCUACUUGCCUCACAGGAGGUACUCCCGGCAGCUCCUCGGGGAAAACAUCUGGAAACUCACGCACCACAGGGACCUCCUCAACUGACUUCGGUCUCUCGGAAACCUCCCGCGUAUCCAUCACAUACGCCACAAAACCCUUACAGCCCUGCUGUAGACACUGCCUCGCCCUAGCGGCCGAACAAAAAGCUGAUCCCGAACGGGUACCCUCGCCGUACACCGAAAGAACUCCCCCACUAUGGUCUCGUAUAGUCACCAGCUGACGCUCACAGUCGAUGACAGCGCCGAAUCGGCUCAACCAGUCCAUGCCCACGAUGACACAGACAUCACCCAUCGCAAUAGGAAUCAGGUCAAUCGGGAAUUCAACCCCGAAAAUCUCUAGUACACAUCCCCGAAGAACCUCCGUGGCACAAAUCACUUUCUCGUCAGCUAUAGAAACUCUCAAAGGUCGACUCAACGACUCACGACUAACGCUGAUAUGCUGACUAAAGGCUAAGGACACAAAGGACCUACUCGCACCCGAGUCAAAUAACACUAAGGCAGGCACAGAGUUCACAAGGAAAGUACCUACGCAUAUAAUAACAUAAGCAUAACAUCUCGACAUUAAAAUAAAUACAUGAAUUACAACAUACCUGCCACGACAUCGGGCGCAGCGCGGACCUCCUCCGCAGUCAGCUGAAAGGCUCUCCCACGAGCCCUCGGGGCCUCGGCCUUCACCGGUCGAGUCGCAGUAGCUCUGGCAGCAGGUGCAGAUCCCUGAAGAAGCUGAGGGCACUCGGCCUUCCUAUGGCCUGUCUGGUUGCAAUGAAAGCAAACCGUAAAUCCCUUGGGACACUCCCUAGCAAUGUGCCCCUCCUUGCCACACUUGUAGCAAGCACCAGAUCGACACGCCCCCUCAUGACCCUUGCCGCACUUUCCGCAAGUGCGGCCCUUCGAACCUCCUUUGCUCGCAUCGGCGGACUUUAUCCGCUUGGCUGCCGGCUGGAACUGAGCCGGUCGCCGGUCCACCCGCUGAGACUCGGCCUCCUCCCUGGCCUGGGUCUCCAACUCGAUCUCGCGCUUCCUGGCAUUCGCCUGAAGCUCAGCAAAAGUAUGGUAGGUGGAGUUUGACACAAACUCCCGGAUAUCCCUCCUCAACACUCCCAAGUACCGGCUCAUCCGAGCCUGAUCAGUGGACACCAGCUCGGGGCAGAACAUCGCCCUCUCAUGAAACUUCCGCGUGAUCACCGCAACAGAAUCAGUACCCUGCUUGAGGGUUAAGAACUCCUGAACCAAUCGUUCCCUCUCCACCGGGGGAACGUACUCAUCCCUGAACAUGGCAGUAAACCCCUCCCAUGUCACUGCUGUAGUCUCUGCCAAAGUGAAGUUCGCCGUCACGAACUUCCACCAGUCCUUCGCUCCCAGACGGAGCUGGUUCAAAGCGAACCGUACCCUCAGGUGCUCCGGGCAUGAACAAGUGUAGAAGCACCCCUCUAUAUCCGCGAUCCACCUCAUCGCAGCAAUCGGAUCCUGCGUCCCAUCGAACUCUGGUGGCUUCGUGUUGCUGAACUCUCGGAACAGCAACGAGUCACCCCCCUGUGGCCUAGCAGCGGCCACAGCUGCGGUAGCUGCAGCGGUUGCAGUCUCAGUCAAUGCGGCGUACCGCUCCUCAAACGUCUCCAUCAGGGUGGUCUUAAUAGACCCAAACAUCUCCGGGAUCUCAGCCCGGAUCGCCGCAGCUACCUCCUCGUGAAUCAUCUGACGAAUCUCCUCGUCACUCACACCGCUCGAACUCGCUCCGUGGCGUGGUCUAACCAUGAUGUCUCUGAAAUACAACAUAAAACUAUCAGAGACUCCAUCGAGUAUAAUCGCACUCGAUAACGCAACCCUACUCAGUCUCCGAUAUCCAGGGAUUCUUACUUGGGUCUCCCACUGACCCGGUGUCUUCGGUAGUACGGGCCCAAUACCACCGACCACACCGCAUCAGCAUUCGUCCCAAAUCUUCCUCCCCAAACCCCGGAUAGUGAGUACUCUACUUUUGAUAUGCAUUAUCUACCCGCAUACUAGCAAGCAUCUCAUAUCGGCAAACUUCCUUAGACUAAGGCAUCACCAAUCAGGCCACCCUAGUCCUAUCAUGGAUACCUAGUCUUCUAGCAUGCAUAACAAUUCAUAUCAUAUAAUAUUGUAAGGUAUUUUGGGGAUCUUUACCGUUCGGGCGCUGACUGAUCGUACACACUGCUUCUUUCUUGCUUACCACAAAACCAUUUACAAAAGUUUAUGCCUUUAUUUAAAAAGUUUUCCUCAAAUCCUCGGUUUGAGUUCAGCUACUCCCGAAGGUGCACCCGAAUCCCUCAAACCAAGGCUCUGAUACCAAUUGUAACAACGCAAAUUUUCAAACAAAUUUUUCAUUUUAAAAAUAUAUUUAUUUCCAUUCAUAACAAGGCAUAAAUAGUUUAAGUAUUCUGUCAAAUACAAAUAAUCAAAAUCCCAAGAUCAUAAAAGCAUUCUUCAGUGUGUAUCGAUCACGCCGGCGCCUUCCCACGGUCCUCGCUAGUACCUGAAAUACAUGCACAACAACUGUAAGCAUAAAUGCUUAGUGAGUUCCCCAAUAUACAACUUACGCACAUACGCCUUUCCAGGCCCCGACCUUCCGGUCCAUGUGUCUCAGGGGACUUCCGUCCCUGCUGGGUAAACCUUCCGGUCCUACCCACGCCGACCUUCCGGUCCAUCACACAACAUAUCGCCUUCCGGCCCAUAACAUAUUGCCUUCCGGCCCAUAAUAUAAUCGCCUUCCGGCCCAUAACAUACAUAGCACAUAUAACAAAUAACUUACCACAUAUAGCAUACAUAUCACAUAUCAUAUCCGACCUUCCGGUCACACAGUCAAACCCUUCCGGGUACAGUAUAGUGAGAAGACUCACCUCGUAAAAGCUGAAAGCUAGCAAAUCCUGAAAUGACUCGUGCACAAUCCGACGAGCUACAACCUCCCUAUAACAUCACAUAUCUCAUUAACACUUAUAUCUUCUAAGUGUGACUAUCCCUAAGAAGUCAGACUUAGGUCAACUCUGGUCAACGGUCAACGGUCAACUCGACCGGACUCGGCGAGUGCCAUGGCGACUCGGCGAGUCUAGACGUCCUCCAACUCUCUGAGAUUCCCUAUCUACUCGUCGAGUAUCCUCCUCGACCCGACGAGUUACUCCUGGAAGAAUCGCGGGGCCACCCCGACUCCACUCGCCGAGUCUGAAGAACAACUCGGCGAGUCCCAGUAAAUCUUCAAGCUACUCGCCGAGUCUGAAGAACAACUCGGCGAGUCCAUGCCAUGCAGACGAGCAACUGCUUUCUAAAUUACGUAUGGUCCCGAGAUAUACAAUCAUGGGACUUUCUGGACUUCUAAACAUCUUAUUACUGGGGUAUAAACGUUUGGGUAAUAACAUAAUAACCCAUCUAAUCACUAAAUGGGUUUCAUAAACCCUAAUUUCGCAUACACAUCAAAAUAACAGAAUUGGUCCGAGUAUUACCUGAAAACGCACUCUCUGUGUCCCCCAAACCUCAGGACUCGAUCCUCCUUGAUAUUCCUUUGGCCAAAUUCCUCUUCUUCUUGCCUAACAAGUUCCUCCAAGUUCCAAUGGCUUUCUCUCCUGCUCUGGACGUCCACAACGAUUAGGGUUCUUCUCAAUCGACCAAAAGACGGAAAAUGACGGCCUAAGAGGCGUUAUAUACGAUCCAAAACCGAACGGUUAGGGUUUCUGCUGAACAGCGUCGACUCGCCGAGUCCAUAUCUGGACUCGUCGAGUCCAGUCGCGAACCCGCGACCAAGUCUGCGAUCCUACUCGGCGAGUCUAGGCUCCAACUCGCCGAGUCCCCUCUUAAAUCACCCCCAAAAAC